CCAAUAGCGUAUAUUAAAGUUGUUGCAGUUAAAAAGCUCGUAGUUGAAUUUCGGGAUCAAAUUGUCGGUCGUGCCUUGGUACGUACUGGUAUUAUUGGUUCCUACCUUCUGAAGAACCGCGAUGUCAUUAAUUUGGUGUCGUGGGGAAUCAGGACUGUUACUUUGAAAAAAUUAGAGUGUUUAAAGUAGGCUUACGCUUGAAUACGUUAGCAUGGAAUAAUGAAAUAGGACGUUUGAUUCUAUUUUGUUGGUUUCUAGGAUUGACGUAAUGAUUAAUAGGGAUAGUUGGGGGCAUUAGUAUUCAAUUGUCAGAGGUGAAAUUCUUGGAUUUAUUGAAGACUAACUACUGCGAAAGCAUUUGCCAAGGAUGUUUUCAUUAAUCAAGAACGAAAGUUAGGGGAUCGAAGACGAUCAGAUACCGUCGUAGUCUUAACCAUAAACUAUGCCGACUAGGGAUCGGAUGAUGUUAAUUUUUUAAUGACUCAUUCGGCGCCUUACG
rnacentral:rRNA from 1 species